rnacentral:rRNA from 1 species
UACGGAGGGAGCUAGCGUUGUUCGGAAUUACUGGGCGUAAAGCGCGCGUAGGCGGCUUUGUAAGUUAGGGGUGAAAGCCCGGAGCUCAACUCCGGAACUGCCUUUAAAACUGCAUCGCUUGAAUCCAGGAGAGGUGAGUGGAAUUCCGAGUGUAGAGGUGAAAUCCGUAAAUAUACGAAGGAACGCCAAAAGCGAAGGCAGCUCUCUGGGUCCCUACCGACGCUGGGGUGCGAAAGCAUGGGGAGCGAACAGG